rnacentral:lncRNA from 1 species
GGAACUCCGGGUGCCGGUUGAGGUUGCUGGUGGACCUGCUCUGGUGGUCUUGGAUGAGGCCCCAUGAGCGCGGCGCCCCUGGUGGGCUACAGCAGCAGCGGCUCCGAGGAUGAGUCCGAGGACGGGAUGCGGACCAGGCCGGGGGAUGGGAGCCACCGUCGUGGCCAGAGCCCCCUUCCCAGGCAGAGAUUUCCAGUACCUGACAGUGUGCUGAACAUGUUCCCGGGCACCGAGGAGGGGCCUGAAGAUGACAGCACAAAACACGGGGGACGGAUGAAGCCAAGGAGGAGUUCCUGGAUCUGCUUGAUGUGUUGCUGCCCCAUGCCCAGACAUAUGUCCCCCGGCUGGUAAGGAUGAAGGUGUUCCACCUCAGCCUGUCCCAGAGUGUGGUUCUGCGCCACCACUGGAUCCUCCCCUUCGUGCAGGCUCUGAAAGCCCGUAUGACCUCCUUCCACAGAUUCUUCUUUACUGCCAACCAGGUAAAGAUUUACACCAAUCAAGAGAAAACCAGGACCUUUAUUGGGCUUGAGGUCACUUCAGGGCAUGCCCAGUUCCUGG